CUAAAAGUUAUUUUGCAAGGAUCUGUUACAGUAUGUAAAACAUUGCAUCAGCCGUAUACUUAAUUGCGAAGCAGAAGGAAGCCUGUGACUUCCGUUUUCCUCUUCAGAUCUUUCGCUUUGGAUUAUAUUUCGCUCUGGCUAUAGCAGUGGACUCUCGUCAGUCUCCAACACCAACCAGCCCGAGCCAAGGAGCAUCUUGCAGAGGGUCUGCAUGUGGACCUCUGGAGGGAAAGCAAUAGUGUUUAGCUCACACAUAAUGACCAGUAGCUGGUGGGAUGAGUCCAUCCAUCUCUGUGAAGUGAACAGGUCCCAGCUGGGCCGAUGCCUUCAGGAUGGAAAGGGGAAGUGAGGCCGGCUUCACCCGUCUCCCCUAAAUAAACCAGGCGACAGGAUGCACCCGCAUUUGAGAGGACAGACACAGCAUCCAGCGGCUGCAGGGGAGGAGCGGCUUCCGCUGUCAUGGGUGUCAAGUCCACUAUUAGAGAGGCGAGUGAAUCCACAUGGUGCCUGCAGGAUGAAAUGAGCCUUCCCAUGUGCUGCUGGUAGAUCAGCUUUACACAAUAAAUCUGUGUUCCAGUUC
ensembl:processed_transcript